rnacentral:lncRNA from 1 species
UUUUUUUUAAUAAUCGAAACCAACAGUGGAAAUAAAGAUACAACCUCCCUGGUAGUACUGAGUCACGAACUCUAACUGAAUACAUAAAAUGAUCUGAAGGAAAUUAAAUAUACAAUAGUGCUUGAAUAAUAAUUGAUAGUACGAUAAAAGGGAAAAGACUCCAAGGGAUUGCGACGACCAAGCAGCUCUACCUUGAAUCCUUGCAAUCACACUCUAACUCUGUUCGAGUCCUAUAUCUCCAAUACUUGGCCCUGUACAUAAAAAAAUAUACAGAAGUGUAGUAUGAGUACACCACAUCGGUACCCAGUAAGUAUCAAAACUAACCUCGGUGGAGUAGUGAUGAGGUACAAUCAAGACACUCACUAGUCUAAUAACUUGUUCAAUAUAGCAUACAAAAAUAAUAGGAAAUAAAUAACAAUGAUGGCAACAAUAAUCAACCAGUGAUAUAAAUAAUAGGGCAACAAGAACAUCAUAUAUAUUGCUCAUCAAAUAAUGAAUACAAGUACAACCAAUUAAUCAAAAUUUUCAAAUAUUAAUCUUUUGCCUAUAAAUCUUCCCAAUAGUAAUCUUUAGGAUAUAAUAUUUUCCGAUAAAUAUAUUUCGAAUAUACUUCCUUCAAAUAAAUAUCUUUCUCAUAAUUCUUUCAAACAAGUAUCUUUCCAAUAUAAUUCUUCCAAAUAAAUAUCUUUCGAAUAAAAAUUCUUUCAAAUAAUAUUUUUCGAAUAUAAUUCUUUCAAAUAAAGUCAUCAUGGGACACCUUAUUUCAAAUCAUAAAAUACGGGUCUCAGCCCAUUUUUAUAUUUCCAUGGCUCGAGCCAAUAUUUCUAUCACAACUGCACGAAUAACUCACGUGCCAAUAUCGUCAUCAUUUACUCACGGCACCUCGUGCUCAUAUUUCCUAUCACAACUGCACGAAAAAUUCACGUGCCAAUAUAAUUUUGAUUAUAUAACCAUGGCACCUCGUGUCCAUAUUUCAUAUCAUAACUGCACAGACAAUUCACAUGCCAAUAAUAAAUUCAUCAUAUUUCCCGACACCUCGUGCCCAUAUCAUAAUUCGCCCGACAAUAUUUACAGGCUCAUAAUUUCAAUAUAUAUCUGACUAUUAUAAAAUUUAUUGAAUUUAUAAAAUAAAUUACACAAUAUGUAAAAGAACUCACAAGGAAUUCACAACACGACAUAAAUAUUACUAGCACAAUAUCCCCCCAUCAUCACAUAACAAUUACCAAUACAAUACUCCACAUCAUCACAUAUCAUCCCUGACAAUAGCCACCCUUAUCUCUCCUAUAGCCACCCUUAUCACUCCUAUAAUAGCCUCCCUUAUCGCUCCGUAUAAUAGCCUCCCUUAUCGCUCCGUAUAAUAGCCUCCCUUAUCGCUCCGUACAAUAAUUUCCCUCAUCGCUCUGUAUAAUAGCCACCCUUAUCACUCCGCCCAGACAAUAUCCCAACACACAUAACCAUACUGAAAUGCCACCCUUAUACCCACGUAAUAUCAACAAUGGAAUGCCACCCUUAUGUCCUCAUAAUAAUAACUCAAAUUAUACAAUAAUUUACACAGAAUAUUAUCACAACAAUACCAUACAACAAUUCAUAUCACAAAUUGUCCAUAGGCCACAAUCAGUUCCAAAGAUACAACAAAAUCAAUUAAUUUCACAACAAAAAGCCUAAGGCUCCACACAAGGUAUAUAAAACCUCAAAACAACAAGGAUGGAAAAAUAAUUCAUCAUAGGAUAACAUCUUCUUUAAUCCAAAUUUUCAAUAAUUAUAUUAAUGCCUCUUCUUACCAUAUUUAAUUAAUUAUUUGCGGAUGAAAAAUCCAUAAUAAAAUUAUUUCUAAGAAAUAUCAAUUCACCAAACACAUGGAAUUCACAUAAAAAAAUCCAAGUAGCAAUCACACCAAAUUAUCAUAUAAAUACAAACUCGACAAACAAAGAAUGAGGCAUGACAAAUCAAAGAUUUACUAAGUGUCAACCAUUUUCAAUUAAAUACAUACGGGUGUCUACGAAUUUUAACCGAUAUAAUUUGUACAUAUAAACCAAGUACGUACUCGUCACCUCACGUACAUGGUUUCCAAUCACAUAAUUUCCACAUAAGACUCAAUGCCUAAGGGAAAAUUCCUCCACACAAGGUUAGGCAAGAUACUUACCUUUUUGAAGUUAUGCCAAUAUUUCACAAUCGUCUUCUUGCUUGAAUUAACCUCCGGACGGCUCAAAUCUAUCCAAAUUAAUUGUAUAACUUCAUUAAAAUUCAUCGGAAAUAAUUCCGGAUAAUAUAACAUCGACUUAAAAUUUUACAUUCAAAAAUUCAACCAAAAGUCAACGCAGGACCUGCCUCUCGGAACCCGUCAUAAUUUUCACGAAAUCCGAACACCCAUUCCGAUACGAGUUCAACCAUACCAAUUUUAUCAAAUUCCGACAUUGGAUUGACUUUCAAAUCUUAAAUUUUCAUUUUCGGAAGAUUUGCUAAAAAUCUGAUUUUUCUUCCAUAAAUUCAUGGAUUCAUAAUGUAAAUGAGUAUGGAAUCAUGAAAUAUAAUCAAUAUAGGAUAAGAAACACUAACCCCAAUGUUUUCACGUGAAAAUCGCCCAAAAAUUGCCCAAGAACCGAGCUCCAAAAAUUCCAAAACGAAAUGGCGAAGUGCUGAUUUUUGUGAUUAAAUGUUUCUGCCCAUCCGUCACUAAAAGCCAUUUUCGUCACUAAAAGUCGUCACUAAAAGUCCACCAGAAAUAGCUUUACCAACCUUUAUUCAAUCGGUCAUAACUCAUUGUACAAAUGUCCAAAUUAUGAAUGGUUUAACUUUAUGGAAAUUAGAAUACAAGGUCUGCAACUUUCAUGUUUUGUAAAUCUUCAGAUCCUUUAUGGAUUUCGAUAUAUAUGCUUCCAAAAUAGGCUCCUCGCGUCAGAAAUUUCGGGGGAAAUUACAAAACAGCAUUACCAACCUUCAUUAAAUCAAUCAUAACUUUAUGUACAAAUAUCCAAAUGAUGAAUGGUUUAGCUUUCUGGAAACUAGAAUUAAAGGGCUACAAUUUUCAUGCUUUUCAAAUUUUCAGAUUCUUUAUAUAAUUGAGAUAUCAGCUUCCAAAGUAGCCUCCUCGAUUGCACCAUUGCUGUCCAAAACAACAGCUGUAGCAGAAAGAGCAGCAGUUUCUUUUGUCCGAAAUCCAUUCCGUUAACCUUCCGAAAUCCACCCGAGAUUCUCGAGACCUUAACCAAUUAUACCAACAUGUUCCAAAAUACAAUACAAACUUAAUUGAGGCUUUAAACAACAUCAAACAACGUUGAAAUUAUGAAUCGUGCAUCGAAUCGAAUUAUGAGUUUUCAAAUCUUCGAACUUCUAUAUUUUUGCGCCGAAACAUAUCAAAUCAAUCCUAAAUGACUUCAAAUUUUGUGCACAAGUCAUAAAUGACAUAAUGGAGUUGUUACAAUUUUCAGUAUUGGAUUCCGACCCCGAAAUCAAAAAGUCAACUCUCGGUCAAACUUUCCAAAAAUCUUCUAUUUUUCAACUUUCGCCAAAAUGCGUCGUAUUGUCCUACGGACUUUCAAACCAAAUACAAACAUUCUCCUAACUAGAAAAUCACCAUACGAAACUAUCGGAAUCAUCAAAAUUCCAUUCUAGGGUCGUUUGCUCAAAAGUCAACUCUCCAGUCAACUCUUUCCAUUUAAGCUUCAAAAUGAGAACUAUUCUUUAAAUUUAACUCCGAAUCUUCCGAAAACCAAACUCGACCUCACAUGCGGGUCAUAAUACAUAUUACGAAGCUGCUCGAGAUCUUAAGUCGCUGAACGAGGCGUUAAUUCUUUAAACGACAAGUUGGGUCGUUACAUUCUUCCCCUCUUAAAACAUACGUUCGUCCUCGAACGUACCAAGAAUUAUUCUGAGGACAUUAAAUUAUUGAGUGCAUCAUUUCACACAUACUCAUGGGUGAUUCUACGUCACCGUAAAUUUAGCAAGGGUCCGACAACACCAUUUGUGACGACCCGGGCAGUCGUCUCAUGAGUUACCGCUCUAUUUUCUCCUAUUUUAGCUUCUUUAUGCUUCAUUAUCUGUGUUUUAUGUGAUCGGGUUGAUUAGUUUGAGUUUGGAGAGGAUUUGGUAAGAAAUGAUACACUUAGUCUCUUUUAAGAAGGCUUAAGUUAGAAAAGUCAACCAAAUGUUGACAGAGCUGUCACACCUCCUUUUUUACCACACCCGUAAGGGCGUAAAGGAGUUUUUCCAUUUAAAGGACAAUCGGAACGAGAUUUAAUUAUUAAUUAAUUCAGAGUCGCCACUUGAGAGAUUAAUGGUGUCCCAAGUCACCGAUUGAAUCCCGAACCGAGGAAAUUUAUGACUCUGUUAACAGUCCGCGAACCAGAAAUCCGAGUAAGGAAUUCUGUUAACCCGGGAGAAGGUGUUAGGCAUUCCCGGGCUCCGUGGUUCUAGCACGGUCGCUUAACUGUUGUAUUUAAUUUUAUCUGAUCUUAAUACAUGCUAGCUUAUGUGCUUUUAUAAUUAUUUUUAAAAGAAUUGCAACGUCGUGAAGAUGCGUUUCGAACCGCGCCGCAAUCAAUGCACCUGUGGUUGUCAACACACUUCAUCUUCGUUGAGAUUGGGAUUUGGGCCACAUCAAUGCGCACCCAAAUUUUUUUUUAUUAUUUUUUUUAUUUAGAAAAUUAAACGUUCCAUCAAUCAAACACUCCAGCCAUUCAAAAUAACUAAAUAGACAAAUAACCAAAACUACAAAAGCACUAAACAAAACAUGACUCCUGAGAAUUAAACCUAGCUAAUGUUAAUAGAUAUCCCAGCCUACCCAUUAUUACUAGUUUCUUUAUCAUUUCAUAUUUUGACAAGCAUCAACUCUAGUUAAAAAAAAAUUACGUUCCCUUCUUAAAUCAAAUACAUAUUGUUACUUCCCAUCCGAAUCCCAUUCAUAUGAGUACUACAUUAGUUUGACCAAGAUGAACUCAAUGGUAACAAAAUAAUCUAGCAAACUGAAUUAACUAAACGGAAAGUAAAAAAACACAAACAAUUUACACCACUAAUCAGGUAAUAUAAUGAAAUAGAUAUAAAUAGGUAUAAGAGAUGACCUUCAAUAGAACUUGAAAUUUAAAACUCUGUCUGCUUUGAAGCUUUCAGAUAGUAAGAUCACGAUAUAACUUCGGCAAGCAACGGACUGACCGAACUUUGCCGGAGGAACUCAAAUCUCGCCGACGAACUCUAACUCACCGUAAUUUGAAACGGAGAAAAAAAAAACCAAGAAUGACUCAAGAAAAACGAAACAGUCGUAGCAGCAACAAAACUCGAACAAAACGGCAACUGGACGUCAAACAUGAACCAGCCUAAAUUUGCUCGGCACGAACGAAAAACACUCGCUCCUCUCAGGUCUGCUGGUUUCGUUUUUUUCGUCCAGAUCCAGAAGAAGUUGAAAGGUCGUUGGUUAUGUCUUAAUGGAGAAGAAAGUGUCUCGGUUUUGUGUAUUGAAGCAGACGAAGUUCCGUUAGGGUGCUGGUUGUCUUUUUAGAGAUUGUCGCCGGAUUCCGGCGCGCUUGGUGGCGAAGGGACGAGGUUUAAAAAGGGGUGGGGGUCGUUUUUGUUCUGCAGCAGCUUUUCGUGUUUUUUUUCAGCGUUCUUCUUCGCUGAGGAAAAUUGAAACGAGGGAGGGGUGCUUGAAGAAGACAACACGGUGGGGGGGGGGGGGGGUCGUUCCUUUUCUAUUCAAUGGCUGAAGCUUUUUUCUUAAAGGCUGCUGGUUCUCGUUCCUCAUGAAGAAGAAGACCUCCUAUGUUCUUUUUGUUUUAGGGCUUUUUGUUCAAUCUCCAUGAAGAAGAUGAAGGAUAUAUGCUUGAGGGGGUUGUGUAUGGCUGCUGCUGCGUACGUGAAGAAGAUGACCUUGGGGGUCUUUGUAUUUUGUUGCGCAACUUUUCUCUUUUGUUCAUUCUCCU